GUUGAGCUACGGUGGGCAAUUACCAUGGCAAACAAGAGGAAUAUCCCGCUGGCAACACCAUGCACGGUGUCAGCAACUGUAUUUUCAAUGCUCCAACAAUUUGCUCGCAUAAAAAACCUGCCGACACCAGCCAAAUUGUUAGAUUGUUUACCACAUCCUGGGAAUUUCUUCAAAGCAUGUAGCUGACCUUCGAACAAUCUUCCGUGGACAUGAGGCAAGAUGCAGCUCAAGUUGGAAAGCAUUUCAUGGGUGUCAAGAGCACAGUUUCUUCUAAUCAACUCUGUCUAUGGGCUUGAAUCCCAAGUUUUCGACACACUAAAAGAAAAAUUAGAUUUACCAAUCUAUUCUGUUGGUCCUGCCAUACCUUGUUUGAACUUAAGGACAACUAUCCCGUCACUACAGGUUCUGAUAUCACCUACUAUUUCCAAUGGCUAGAUUCCCAACCUACACACUCUGUUUUGUAUUGUUAUUAGGAUGUUUCCUUUCAAUUUCCAGCAAGCAAAUGGAUGAAAUUGUGCUGGGUUGAGAAAUAGUGGUGUUUGAUAUUUGUGGGUAGCUCGUAGAGAAGCUUACGGCUAAAAGGUGUCGGUGGAGAGGUUAUUGGUGGUAGUUUUGAAACACUCAGAGAUAAAACAUAUUGUUUUAUUUUAUAGGCAAAAAGCUUAUAUAUAUUGUUAAGCUCUCAAUCA